UAUUUUUCUAACACUAUUAAGCAGGGCACAUUAUCUUCUAGUUUCUAAUAGCUUCAUAUUUUCAGCAACAUUAUUUCAUUUUUGUAUUGCCCUGUAGAUUUACCCAAAUUAAUUUAGCAACCACGACAAUGGUUAUGGGUACGUAUCCCUUUAUAGUUGUGUGCAAUUGCUUCCCAAUAAUCUUGAAUUCAGUUAAGGAUCGUUCAUUUGCAAGUGCAUUACUUUAUAAAAGGUUUCUACUUUUAUCGGAAUACAUCUAUCGCAUAUUGUGUGAUUCACUUCGUUUUGCAGUGAUUUUCUUUUCUACUUUUAAUUUUUUGUUUUUUGUUUUUGUUUUUGUGAGAAUAGGGGUUUGAUGAUAUGGGUGUUCCUCUUUGGGCUCCAAUUAUUCCAACAGGGUCGGGUCACCAGAGCGACUCAGAAUUCAUUGACCCGUCCCACUUGGGCAUUGACACUUACACAGUUACACUUCACAGAAUGUAAAUGCUUAAUUGCCUUGUUAUUGUUUGGCUCUUUAGAAAUACUAUGUUCUGCAGAUAUUACUUGUGGUUCAUAUUUUGGUGUCUUCUUCUUACGCUAAAAAUACAAGGUUUGUGAAAAAUUCCGGUAAGUGUGUUUUGGCGAUAGUCUAGAUAGAAAAAAUAGAGUAAAUAACUCAAAAGUCAUUUAACUUUAUUUUGUAUCAAUAAAGUCACUUACCUUAGUUUUUUCUCUUAUAAAAUUACUCAAUCAAAUUUGUCAUUAAAAAAAAAAAAAAAAUCUACAUGACAAAAUAGAUUUUAUCUUUUACGUAAUGUAGACAUGAAAUUCAUAACUGAAAAAAUUAAAGAAGACCCAUAUUUUGAACAGGGGCGGACGCAUGUAUUAAGUUUUGGU